rnacentral:rRNA from 1 species
GACGAACGCUGGCGGCGUGCUUAACACACGCAAGUCGAACGGAAAGGCCCUGCUUUUGUGGGGUGCUCGAGUGGCGAACGGGUGAGUAACACGUGAGUAACCUGCCCUUGACUUUGGGAUAACUUCAGGAAACUGGGGCUAAUACUGGAUAGGAGCUCCUGCUGCAUGGUGGGGGUUGGAAAGUUUCGGCGGUUGGGGAUGGACUCGCGGCUUAUCAGCUUGUUGGUGGGGUAGUGGCUUACCAAGGCUUUGACGGGUAGCCGGCCUGAGAGGGUGACCGGCCACAUUGGGACUGAGAUACGGCCCAGACUCCUACGGGAGGCAGCAGUGGGGAAUAUUGCACAAUGGGCGGAAGCCUGAUGCAGCAACGCCGCGUGCGGGAUGACGGCCUUCGGGUUGUAAACCGCUUUCGCCUGUGACGAAGCGUGAGUGACGGUAAUGGGUAAAGAAGCACCGGCUAACUACGUG